rnacentral:rRNA from 1 species
AGAGUUUGAUCAUGGCUCAGAUUGAACGCUGGCGGCAGGCCUAACACAUGCAAGUCGAACGGUAACAGGAAGCAGCUUGCUGCUUUGCUGACGAGUGGCGGACGGGUGAGUAAUGUCUGGGAAACUGCCUGAUGGAGGGGGAUAACUACUGGAAACGGUGGCUAAUACCGCAUAACGUCGCAAGACCAAAGAGGGGGACCUUCGGGCCUCUUGCCAUCAGAUGUGCCCAGAUGGGAUUAGCUAGUUGGUGAGGUAACGGCUCACCAAGGCGACGAUCCCUAGCUGGUCUGAGAGGAUGACCAGCCACACUGGAACUGAGACACGGUCCAGACUCCUACGGGAGGCAGCAGUGGGGAAUAUUGCACAAUGGGCGCAAGCCUGAUGCAGCCAUGCCGCGUGUAUGAAGAAGGCCUUCGGGUUGUAAAGUACUUUCAGCGGGGAGGAAGGUGUUGUGGUUAAUAACCGCAGCAAUUGACGUUACCCGCAGAAGAAGCACCGGCUAACUCCGUGCCAGCAGCCGCGGUAAUACGGAGGGUGCAAGCGUUAAUCGGAAUUACUGGGCGUAAAGCGCACGCAGGCGGUCUGUCAAGUCGGAUGUGAAAUCCCCGGGCUCAACCUGGGAACUGCAUUCGAAACUGGCAGGCUUGAGUCUUGUAGAGGGGGGUAGAAUUCCAGGUGUAGCGGUGAAAUGCGUAGAGAUCUGGAGGAAUACCGGUGGCGAAGGCGGCCCCCUGGACAAAGACUGACGCUCAGGUGCGAAAGCGUGGGGAGCAAACAGGAUUAGAUACCCUGGUAGUCCACGCCGUAAACGAUGUCGACUUGGAGGUUGUGCCCUUGAGGCGUGGCUUCCGGAGCUAACGCGUUAAGUCGACCGCCUGGGGAGUACGGCCGCAAGGUUAAAACUCAAAUGAAUUGACGGGGGCCCGCACAAGCGGUGGAGCAUGUGGUUUAAUUCGAUGCAACGCGAAGAACCUUACCUGGUCUUGACAUCCACAGAACUUUCCAGAGAUGGAUUGGUGCCUUCGGGAACUGUGAGACAGGUGCUGCAUGGCUGUCGUCAGCUCGUGUUGUGAAAUGUUGGGUUAAGUCCCGCAACGAGCGCAACCCUUAUCCUUUGUUGCCAGCGGUUCGGCCGGGAACUCAAAGGAGACUGCCAGUGAUAAACUGGAGGAAGGUGGGGAUGACGUCAAGUCAUCAUGGCCCUUACGACCAGGGCUACACACGUGCUACAAUGGCGCAUACAAAGAGAAGCGACCUCGCGAGAGCAAGCGGACCUCAUAAAGUGCGUCGUAGUCCGGAUUGGAGUCUGCAACUCGACUCCAUGAAGUCGGAAUCGCUAGUAAUCGUGGAUCAGAAUGCCACGGUGAAUACGUUCCCGGGCCUUGUACACACCGCCCGUCACACCAUGGGAGUGGGUUGCAAAAGAAGUAGGUAGCUUAACCUUCGGGAGGGCGCUUACCACUUUGUGAUUCAUGACUGGGGUGAAGUCGUAACAAGGUAACCGUAGGGGAACCUGCGGUUG